GGCGGGGCGGGGCGGGGAGCGAGUCCCGCCGGGAGGGAGGGAGGCUGGCGGCGGGGAAACCAGGACUGGAUUCGAGGGGGAGAGGAAGCAGCGAGACCAGAGGAGGAGAAAGCGCGGCGCGCUGGAUCAACGGGAAGAGAAGGGGCGGGGGUGCAGUGCGUCACAGUCGGGUCGGGAGCCCUGUGGCCUGGAGGAAGCGGGAGGAGGCGCGGGCAGCCGCCAGGGCGAGGCGACCCGGUGCGGGGGGACUCCCAUGGAGCGCGGACUCCUAAGGAAGUCGCUGGGAAUCCCACCGGCUGUACCGCAGGGCGUUAGUACCUAGAUGGCUUCGGUGCCCCCAAGCGAUGGGCUCAAGCUACAGGGCGGGCUUUGCACCUGGCCUUCUCAGCUCUGAGGCAGGCAGUGGGCAGCUUCGCCUCCACCCUCCGUCCAGCGCCCUUCCCAUGGGGCCAUCCGCCUCUCCCUAAGGCACUAAAAACCAGUGGAGGAGUCAGGCCAUGUUGGCAAAAAGGGCUCGGGCAGCAGCCCCAGACCUAUAGUCCUAAAUAUCCAUGUACCCAGCCCUGGGGUCGCGAGCCAUCUCAGGGACGACCCGAUUCCAGCGGAUGGAGAAGUUCCCUGAAAACACCUGCCUGGGAGGAGAGACGAGGGAACGAGAUUGGGCAAGUGGCAUCCGCCCAGCGGGCUUCUCAAAGGUUUUUAAAGCAGAAUGGGACGUAAUAGGAAGAUGUGUCUAGCAGAGAGUAAAAUAAAGGGGCAUUUAGAGGUGUGGGCACCUGGAUGAAAACAAAGGCUCCAAAGGGAUGAUGGUGAGGGUUACAGCCCACCACAGUAGACAGAGACACCAAGGAAGGAAUGCAGUCAGUGGCCCUGCGUAGACAGUCUCAGGAGAGAGCACACCAGCUCACCCCAGGACUCAUCCAAGGCUGGGGAUGGAUGUCGAUGCAGCAACUCUGGAAGGCAGAAGACAGUGCUUUACCAUGGAACUGAAACCAUGAAAAGUGAAACUGCAAAUGGGAGAGACUGCUGUAUAGUCACUGAAAAAUUAAUGGAUGAGCUCAACAGCAAAUUAGACACAACUGAAACCUUGGACCCAUGUGUGGAAGAUGACAGCAUCACCAACUGGAGGGUGCCUGGAUCCCUGAGUCACCACUUGAAGCAAAAAGGUCAAGAGUAGCCACCUGACCCAUAUCAGGCUAUGAAAUGAAGAGAAAAUGACACGAGGCUUUGGAACCAAGAGCUGGAGGAACCUGGAAGCGAAAGCUGAGGCUGUCGGCUGCCCAGCAGUUAACACCCUGAGACCAUCUUCCCACUUCCAACACCCACAGAAGCUGCCACCCAAGGGCCCCUGUGUCCCCGCAUGGCCCACCUCAGCAGUAUGAUGCAGCACUGGGGAAGUGACAGAAUGUGAAAAAAACUAUUAUAGCUGAGAUAUUUUAAAAUUCCGCCCUCCAGGCAGCAUCUGGUUGCUACAGCAACCCCAGCUCUGCAGGGUGUCCCGAUUACCAGCAGGCUCCCUGCACCUGCCUCAGGCUGAGAGCAGGCGGCUGCCGCCAAGGGGAACACCAAGGAAAUGCCCAUGUUCUGAUUCCAAGGUAAUGGCUCAGACCCAAGGGGAUUUUAUCUGUUCAAUGUGCAACCUGAUGAAGUUUUGUCCCAUGUUAAUAAUUUCAUUAAAAAUAUGGCCUUACAUCCUAUUCGAUGCACUCAGUCUUUUUUUUUUAUUCACUCGGCUCCAUCAAAACACAAAAAGAUAACAUUGUCAUUCAUUUGGGAUUGAGCAAAUGAAAGCAGCUGGAUGAGUUUUGGUUCCAGGGUUUAGACAAAGCCCCUAAGGGACAAAAUUGGAAUCAGAGCUGAGUGGCUGGCCCUGCUCUCUGGAUUUGCAUAAGUCAUGUGGCAGGACACUUGCUCUUUUGCACCCAGCCUAAAAUAGCUUAUGAUAUCUUUAGGAAACCCAAACGAGUAAUAAAUAGGGGGCUGGGCACUGUGGCUCACACCUGUUAUCCCAACACUUUGGAAGGCUGAG
rnacentral:lncRNA from 1 species